rnacentral:tRNA from 1 species
GUUGGCUUUAGCUUAUUUGGUAAAGUACCACACUGUGAAUGUGGAGAACAGGGUUCGAGUCCCGGAGUCAACC